rnacentral:lncRNA from 1 species
AAAAUUCUACAACUGUACAGUGGAGAGAAAUGCAUACCUUAUCCUUCCAGUAAUUAUAAAUUUACACUCCAUAUUUAAUAGACAAAGAUUGCAAGGCCUGAAUUUCUCAACAAAAGAAAAAGGAAAAAAAGAUGAAUAAGUAAGAAUACUAGACUGCAAUAGAUAGAAAAAUAAUCUCAUGAAGGAAAUAAUUCAUAACAGCUAAGAAUAGCAUUAUCCAAAAGCAGAAAAUCCAUGUACAAGUUAUGCUGUUGAUACUGAAGAAACAAACAUAUUUUCCAAGGUGAGCGACGAAGAUACAGAAUCCACAUAUCUUAUAAAUCGACAUAAAUUGCAGAACUUACGCAUUUUCAGUGAAUGAGUGAAAUAUCAAUUACUGAACAUCUAACAAGUUUCUCUUUUUUUCUGCCGAACAGAUUAAAUAUAUACUAGAGCAUGAUAUCUGACUUAAACAUGUAAUUAUUUUACAUUACAUGUCAAUAUCAUUGGUCACUGCUCACCAGAUUUCCAGUACCAAAAAGUUUUGAGAAAU